rnacentral:rRNA from 1 species
AGACAGUCUCAGUUCGGAUUGAAGGCUGAAAUUCGCCUUCAUGAAGCCGGAAUUGCUAGUAAUGGCAGGUCAGCAUACUGCCGUGAAUACGUUCCCGGGGCCUUGUACACACCGCCCGUCACACCAUGAGAGUUGGGAAUACCCGAAGCCUGUGAGCUAACUUUUAGAGGCAGCAGUCGAAGGUAGAAUCAAUGAUUGGGGUGAAGUCGUAACAAGGUAGC